rnacentral:misc_RNA from 1 species
CGAUGCCGUGGCUGCUGCUCUGAGCUCCUCGCCGGUGUGUGGCCAGCCAAAAGGAAAGCGACGCUGCGAAGUGCGUCGACUCGCCCCACACUCCCCCGCCGCCGCCCCAUACACGCACACGCACGCACACAAACCGCACCAGCGCGCAGCUAGGUAGACCACCGGCGAAAACGAAAUCUCCCCCCUCCCCCCCCACCACCACCCACGCAACCACCCAGGCAAAAGACAAAAAACGACCAGAUACCACGGAGACGGGAGGGAGCUGGACGCUGUGCGUGCGUGCGCGUCCACGGCCCGCCUUCGGUGCUGCUUCUGCGCGAAGAGGAAAGAAGAUUUACCUCGUCAUGAAAGACGUCUUCUCUCAAGCUACACAGCUCCGUUACCUCCCGUUGAGGCGCUCGUCACACGCGGCCACACAACCGGCAUUCAUCGCCUCAACUCUCUAUGUGUGCGCGCGUGUGGAUCUCGCCCUCCUUCAUCACCAUCACCACCACCGCCUGCGUGUGGUGCCGAGUGAAGCAUUGAUCGCGGCGCUCGGCGCUGAAACACGCGAGUAACAGCGGAAUUGAAAAGGGUGUGCCCCCGGUGUCGUCGUGUGUGCACAUACGGUAGUGCGCUCUGCCCGACGACGAGGCGCUGCUUCAGCGGGACCAGCCACGCGCGGCAGCCCCCCUCCUUGAUCGCGCAAUCGUGUGCAUUUUUUAAGAUAGCCAAGAAGCUCGCACACACACCGUGCCUUCACUUAUUAACGUAGCGAACGAAGAGAAAACAUGACGAGCCCCGGCACCGUCGGCGAUGUCGUGGAUGCAUUCAGCUCGGUCCCACCCGCUCACAUGCCGGGGCGCCUUGGCAACUAUGCGGUGCAAUACCUCUCAAACCAUAUUGGCUCCCUCGUGCAGUCAGUUCCGGUAAUGUUCGUGUACGUUCUUUUCAUCGGGUAUCCCCUUUUCGUUGGGCUGCUUCGGGUCGUGCGGCCGCUCUUGGAGAGCUGGAUCAUGGGAAGCAGUGUGACCCUCGGCACGGUUGUAGGACUCCCAUACAUCAAGCGUAACAUCAUCGUCCAGCUGCCGCCGUUUUUUUUCGUCGAAGUGCCGAACCACAACAUUCUUCUACAGAACGCGGUGCUCAUGUACGUGUGCCACCACCUCUGGCGCCAGAAGCCACUGCCGUCGCGUUUCUUCUUCCAAAGCGCCCACCUGGUUGCGUUGCUCGAUCCCUAUCGCCCCUGGCACGCUUACGUAAACGCCCGGUCGCCGUUCUACGUUGGACCGAGUAAGACCAACAGAAGCAACCCAGCGGACGUCCUCACAGAGACGCAGCUCGAACGCCUUCGCCUGAUAAAGAUACCGCACAAGUCGUGGACUCCUGUAAUGUCCGACGACAUCGAACUCUAUUUCAAAGAAGAGCCGCUGGCCGUAGCUCAUUAUAGCAUUCCAUGGACACGCCGCACCCUGUCGUUGCGCUGCCGCGCCACCCCCGGAUCUGCAGCGAAGCUGGACGAAUUCGUGCAACGCGCGCUGGAGGUGUUCGCGGAGGGGGCACCGGGCAAAGAGGACGACGCACUGCGGUGGUUCUUCGCGUACGGGGGCGAGUCUGACGACAAGGUGUUCUUCAACCAGUAUGUGCUGCGCAGCAACAAGGGCUUCGACACGCUAUUCUUCCCGCAGCGCGACGCGACGCUGACGCUGAUCAAUCAAUUUAUGCAGCGGCGCGGCCGGUUCGCCGUGGAGGGGUUCCCGCAGAGGCUGGGGUUCCUUGUAUACGGGCCGCCGGGGACGGGGCGGCACGCGUUCGUGAAGGCGCUCGCGGCGCACACCGGGCGGCACAUCGUGUCUGUGCCGCUGUCGAAGCUGCGCACGAACCAGCAGCUGUACGAAAUCUUCUUUGCGCGCGAGUACCAGUCGGAGGAGGGGGACAGCGUGCAGAAGCUGCGCAUGGAGGACGUGAUCUUCUUGUUCGACGACGUGGACGCGGCGGACUCUGUUGUGUGCGCGCGUGCUGCGCGCCGCGUGGUGCAGCGCCGUGCUGCUGCUCGGCUGACUGCGCGCGCGGGGUGGCGCGAGGCCCCGCUGACGAACUGCGUGAUCGAGAUGGACACGUCGUCGUCGCGGCCGGUGAUGCGCGUGGAGGACAACACGCUGCCGCUUGCGCUGCUGCUGAAGAUUAUGGGUAGCGACGCAUCGAAGAAUGACGGCGCGUCAGCGGUGGACCGCGGUGGCGGCAGGAGCACGGGCGGGCGGCGGCAGAAGAUGGAGGAGACGGCGGCGGCAGCAUGUGAAGCGGGCGCGAAGGUUGCUGGCGGGCACCUGCUCGGAAUGAACGACGUGCUGCUCGGGGAUAGCAAGGACAAGCUGGACCUGUCGGGGCUGCUGAACGUGCUGGACGGCGUGGUGGACAUGCCUGGGCGGAUGGUUGUGAUGAUCACGGAGCAUCCGGAGUGGCUGGACCCUGCGCUGAUCCGGCCGGGUCGCUUCAGUGUGCGGCUGCGGUUGGACUACAUGGAGAUGGAGACACUUGUGCAGAUGCUGGGCCUGUACUACGGCGACGUGGCGCACUCGCGGCGCGGCAGCGGUGCUGGUGCCGAUGGCUGUGCUGCGGGUGCGGGCGUGGGCGGCCGUGUGGAGGCGGCUUGCGCGGCGCAGUACUCUGCGGCUGGUUCUGCUGCUGGGUGUGUGGUGCACCGCGAGCUGAGCGAGGCGCAGGUGGCGCGUGUGCGUGGCGUUGUUGCUGCUCUGGAGGCGGAGGCGGACGCUGCUGGUGCGCGCGAGGUGAGCGCGGAUGGCAGCAGCGGCAGCGGCAGCGGCGAGAGCAAGUACCGCUUCCAGGUGACGCCAUGCGAGGUGGAGAUGCUUUGCAUGGAGCAGGACGACCUGGAGGGCUUCCUGAGCCAGUUGGCUGGCCUGGUGCGUGGGACGGUGCAGCUUUGAAGAGCGCGUGCGUGUGUGCCUGCAGCACGGGGCGACGCUCAUCGCUGCGGUCGCGACGGCUACCGCUCCUGGCCUUUGAGUGAGGCUGCUUCCCUGUGCCCCCAUCCCCUCCCUCCUGGCAGCCCUCCGCCAGUGCAUCGUCCCCCCCCCGCUCCCCACUCGCCUCCCCCCUCUCCAUCGCUUCCUCUCCCUCUGUGUGGCUGCUCGGUGCGGGUCGAUGCCCGUCCCUCUCGGCUUUGCCCUCGCCGCCGCCAUUUUGCAAGUGCCGGUGUUUCUUGUGGUUCGCUAUGGGGCAAUCCACGUUUUACGCGCGUGCACGUGCGCGCAGAUGCUGCUGUGUCUGUCUGUAUGUAGAUGCUGAUGUAUGUGGGUGUGGACGGCAUGCGUUUAAGAAGUUUGUGCUCAUGUGCGCACCGCACGGACUCGGUACUGAUUUCACCACUCUUCACUGUGCAUACUUGUGUCCGUUGUCAUCGAUCGCGGUGCGCUCUUCUUGGGACGCAACGGUGCAAGUAAAUCGCGGGGAAGUGAUGGUGUGUGAUGAUGUUGAGGGGUGCACGUCCGAGCUCUCCGGUUCUCCAAUGGAAGCGAGAUGAUUGUUCUAAGUUUCAGUGCUGCGUCUGGUUUUCGGUUUUAUCUGCGGAACGGCCGCAGUGACCUCAUUGUCCCCUUCUCUCUCGCUAUUGUUGUUGUCUGUGCCUUUCGAGUAAGGCCACGACUCAACCGACCUCUCUGCACCGCUCUCCCCUCCCCCUUCAUGUCUCCACACGGUGAGACAAGCAGCUAAAAGAGUAUGAGACUGCGCACUCUCGCCGUUACACAGAGGCACAGACACAGCCGCGUAUGUCGACUUUUGCCCAGAAAAGGUGCGCUCGAUGCCUGCCGGUGUUGGGCCCUCUCGGUUUGUCGGCGGCUCGAUCACUCGUGCACACACACACACACACACACCACCCCACAGAAAUCUGAUCGACUGAGCCGAAUACGCGGACUCGCUCAACGGCCUCGGCUGAACCGCCCUCUCUUGCAUGCUGGCGAAAGGAAAGGGAGUACACAGAAAUGCACCCCGACGCUCCCGUGCAGUUUCAAGGUGACUCGAUGCGGAGAGACGAGAAGGAAGAGAAAAAAAGCAGCAAGCGGCGACAGGGGGCCACGGGCGGGUGCAUCCGUAGCAUGGCCACCUCGCUCCCUCGCCAUGUUUUCUGGAGUGGCCUGCUGUCCCCCAUGCGCUGCUGCUUGUUUUUUUCUGUCUCCGACUGGAGCGCGUCGGCCAUCACAGACACAGGCACACACACGCUCUUUGCGCUUCCCGUGCAAUCUUCCCGUGCCGCCUCCCUCCCCCUCCCCUAUUCUCUGCGUGUUUGCUCGCGUCCUCCCACUCUUCUUCCGCGGCCUCCAUCCUCGCUCUCCCCCUCCCGUACACACAUAUGCCCACCCACUGAUACACACGCACACACAACAUUCUCACAUGCUCACAUGCGUGCUCUUGAG